ACAAAUUCUUUUCCCAAUUUAGGUAUGUGAUUGGUGAACAUUGCGACCCUUGAAAGCUCGUCAACUCCAUGUCGCCUACGAGAAAAAAAGUGUUAGUGAUGAUUAAAGCAUUAAUUGUGUAUCAAAUGGAGGAAGAAAUUGAAAGGCUAAAGAAGAAAACUUAAAACGUCAUUGUGGAGCAUAUACCAUUGUCAUAGAGUCUAGCAUACAAAGAACCCAAAAAGAUCAUUCUUUAGUUGUCCUUAAUUCAAGCCUUAUUGGGAAAAAAAUUGCACAUUGUGACUUCUUCACUAUCAUCCUCCUUAAAACUUAAAAGUGGAGGCCUAUAUUUCAUGAGAAAUUGCAACAUUAGAAAAUUCCAUAUCUACAACGUUAUCAUCUCUAGUUUUACUAUUGUUUUCUUCUUCACUACUACUUAAGAUCACAUUAUUUAAAAUAUAAUGAUCGAAAAAUAAAUAAAGCUCAUCUCUAUCCUUGUUCUC